rnacentral:rRNA from 1 species
GGACAAGCCCUGGAAACGGGGUCUAAUACCGGAUACUGACCCGCUUGGGCAUCCAAGCGGUUCGAAAGCUCCGGCGGUGCAGGAUGAGCCCGCGGCCUAUCAGCUUGUUGGUGAGGUAAUGGCUCACCAAGGCGACGACGGGUAGCCGGCCUGAGAGGGCGACCGGCCACACUGGGACUGAGACACGGCCCAGACUCCUACGGGAGGCAGCAGUGGGGAAUAUUGCACAAUGGGCGAAAGCCUGAUGCAGCGACGCCGCGUGAGGGAUGACGGCCUUCGGGUUGUAAACCUCUUUCAGCAGGGAAGAAGCGAAAGUGACGGUACCUGCAGAAGAAGCGCCGGCUAACUACGUGCCAGCAGCCGCGGUAAUACGUAGGGCGCGAGCGUUGUCCGGAAUUAUUGGGCGUAAAGAGCUCGUAGGCGGCUUGUCGCGUCGGUUGUGAAAGCCCGGGGCUUAACCCCGGGUCUGCAGUCGAUACGGGCAGGCUAGAGUUCGGUAGGGGAGAUCGGAAUUCCUGGUGUAGCGGUGAAAUGCGCAGAUAUCAGGAGGAACACCGGUGGCGAAGGCGGAUCUCUGGGCCGAUACUGACGCUGAGGAGCGAAAGCGUGGGGAGCGAACAGGAUUAGAUACCCUGGUAGUCCACGCCGUAAACGGUGGGCACUAGGUGUGGGCGACAUUCCACGUCGUCCGUGCCGCAGCUAACGCAUUAAGUGCCCCGCCU